CUGGCUUACCUCCUCAGUUAUGCGUCAAGGCUUGUAUCGCCUAGAGCGUAUUGUUGGUUUUCUGUAUUGGAUACCUAAUCGAAGGUAUUAUUUUGAUCGAUCGGAGUCCCUUUUCGUCUUGUUGCAUUUUGUGUCGCAUGAUGAACGUUGAAGCGGUCUCUAUGUUCCAUCACGUUGAUGCACUUGCAUUGAUGUUGUGGCCCAUUGAGCUUUGUUUGGUUUCUUGGAUAUGGAACAUGAAGUGGGCAUGGGGCUGUCAUGAUCCUCUUUUUGCCCUCGUAUGGUGUUCUUGAACGACGGGUCAUGCGCGCCUAGGCUCGURCCU
rnacentral:misc_RNA from 1 species